rnacentral:rRNA from 1 species
CCUACGGGAGGCAGCAGUGGGGAAUAUUGCACAAUGGGCGGAAGCCUGAUGCAGCAACGCCGCGUGAGCGAUGAAGGCCUUCGGGUCGUAAAGCUCUGUCCUCAAGGAAGAUAAUGACGGUACUUGAGGAGGAAGCCCCGGCUAACUACGUGCCAGCAGCCGCGGUAAU